rnacentral:rRNA from 1 species
UACGGAGGGGGCGAGCGUUGCUCGGAUUUACUGGGUGUAAAGGGCGUGUAGGCGGUUCUGUAAGUCUUGCCUAAAAGGCCACGGCUCAACCGUGGUAUGCGGCAGGGAACUGCAGGACUGGAGGGUGGAAGAGGCGAGCGGAAUUCCCGGUGUAAGGGUGAAAUCUGUAGAUAUCGGGAGGAACACCAGUGGCGAAAGCGGCUCGCUGGUCCAUACCUGACGCUGAGAUGCGAAAGCUAGGGGAGCGAACAGG